UCAGAACAAUCAUUUUCAGAUUCAGCCUC
rnacentral:piRNA from 1 species